UCCUUAUUAUUCUAACAAAACAAUCUUUAUCAAUCAACAUGAGAAAGUGGUUUCAAAAAAUGUAAAAGUUUUUGAAAAAUGUUUUUGAAGAUUCUAACAAAACAAUCUUCCACCGGUUUCAAAAAAUGUAAAAGUUUCUCGUUUGUCCAUAACCCGCCACAUGAAGAUCAUCCAUUCUUCUUCUUUCCAGGUUGGUUAAGGUUGGCUUAUUCGUUUGCCAUUUUUUUUUGGGUUUUAGCAACUCCCCAGAUUGGCAAUAUUUUUUUUUGAAGACAUGGUUGAAAGUUAUUGUAACAUUUAUAUUUUCAGUUUUUUUUUUUUUUUUUUUUUUUUUUGUAAUGCUACCAUUUAAUGGAUGUAAUGUUUAAUUGAAGAGAAAGUAAUUAAGAGGGCUUGAAGAGGUUACAAACACCAUGACCGCUAGAUGUCUUUUGCUAGGAUGAGAUUGGGGUGGUCGGAUCACAUGUUUGUCUCUCAAAAUGUUAUCCGUGCGUCCAAGGCUCAAAAACCCUUGCAGUUUUGUAUUAUAGAUUACGAGGAUAAUC